AUGCUCAGAGGAUGGUUGUGCAGCAGGGCCGUGGGCCCUUGCUACACUCCCCAUGUCCCUGGGACGUUGCUCUGGAAGUUCCUCACUUGCCUGCUUCCUUCUUCCUUCCCCUUCUGCCCAGCAUCAUCUUCCUCCUUCCUGGCUCGACUCUUCUUUGGUGGGCAGGUGACCUCAGGCCUCACUGGGUGCAAAUGCACAAAGCCAGUUCUGGCUGUUGAAGAGCAGGAGUCAAUGACAGAGCCUGUGUGGCCUCAGCCUCUUUACUGCUGCGCUCUGACCAUGGGCAGGAGACCAGGUGGCCCCACCAGGAAAAUGGAGCCAGACUGGAACUCUGGGGUGUCCUCAGCAUCGAUGCCCCAUGGGCCUGGAUUACCAUGAGACUCCAAUCAAGGGAGCACAGCAUCUUUCUGCAGAGGAAAAGAAAGGUACUUGACUUUUGAGGAGUCAAAGGGGGAGGCUGAAACGUGGUGGCAGGAAUGCUAAGCUUGAGGCAGGCAGGCUUGCCUGGGGCGCAUGUCUCCUGCCACUGUCUGUAGAGUGGGGAUACCACCCCAUGCCCAAGGCCGAGAGAGAUUUACAGCUGCUGAAAUGGCAGGUGCCCACCACAGGCCGAUAUUCCUAUAUAUUCACCUGCUUCUCCUGCCCUUCCUCCCUCAAGUACCUGGUCUAGAGAGGGAGGUUGGAUGCCCUUACCAAACGUGGGUCAGGAGGAUGCCAGGCCUGUGUAGGUCUGGGGUGCAGUAGGGUCUCAGAAACACAUGGAGGAUCUGCCCCAUCUGUGUGCUGGCACCUGG
rnacentral:lncRNA from 1 species